rnacentral:rRNA from 1 species
CACCGCCCGUCGCUACUACCGAUUGAAUGGCUCGGUGAGGCCUUCGGACUGGCCCAGGGAGGUCGGCAACGACCACCCAGGGCCGGAAAGUUGGUCAAACCCGGUCAUUUAGAGGAAGUAAAAGUCGUAACAAGGUCUCCGUAGGUGAACCUGCGGAGGGAUCAUU